rnacentral:lncRNA from 1 species
AUAAUGAGGUGGAUGGAAGGUAUGGAGACUCUAGGGAGAUCAAAGCUUGUGAGAGAGGGAAGUCUGAUCUGG